AGUGACAGCUUUUUCUACUGUACAUAAAGACUUGCUUGAGUCAGGGCAUGAUGUGGGUACCAUUUUAAAUAGAAAGAAACAAAGACCAUGGAAGACAAACUAGAAAACAGAAGUACUGAGCAGGAGGGAAGGCAAGGGGAAACGGGCCAAAGCAGAGGCGGGCAGGCUACAAGGUGACUCUUCCCACCUCCUCAACCAGGAGAUGUUGCUUUUCCUUAACCAUGUUCUUGCCGCAGCACCAGCGCUCAAGACGGCAAAUCAGAAACAAAACUACAGGUUAGAAUAGCAGGUGGUGGAAGGCCAUAAAGAAAAAUAUCUUCCCUCUUUUGAGAAGUCAACACGUGAUUUAAAGGAGACGAUUCAACUGGUCCUUCACCUUAAAUGUGCAAAAAUGGAGCCCCUUCACUAGCCCAUAGGGCAGGUUCUUUCUCAUGGGGCUGAUGCUCUUUUCUGUUUUCCCCAAACACUAGAACACACAAAACCAGGCAAAAAUCAAUCUAGAAAACAAAAAGUGUCCGGGAAGAGGAGGCAUGCAAAUGGUAAACAUCACUCAUUUGCUCAACAAAUAUUUGAGUGCCUACUCUACGCCAGCAACUACCUGUCAAGAAGCAGUUUGGCUUUACCAGGCCACCGAGCGUGAAACUGAAGAUCUGGACUGUGGAAGUGACUCAAAUGCUAAGAGCCUAAUUUGAGAGGCAAAGGUAAACGGGAGACAAGCACAUACACUUCGCCCAUGACUAGUAACUCAGUCACUCGGAUUAUUACACACAAAUAAAGCCAGAUCGUAGGUGGAGAAAUUGCC